rnacentral:lncRNA from 1 species
UUACCAAGAGAAAUCACCUUCAUUUCCCCAAAUCCUUCCACAAAGUAGAAAGUUUGGAGCGCAAUCUAACCUUUGAGAUGUGAAACUUUUUGGCCAAAGGAUUCAACCAUGAAGGUGUGUUUGCACAUGUCAACCCCUGCUUGGUAUUCUUUUGUUGGUGUUAUGAUUGAGAGACGAUCCCCUUUCAAAACUAGUUAAAGAAACUGUGAUGUUGAUACGUCACACACUCUAUUAAGGAUUUGAAUGAGAGUAUUUGGGUUUAGG